UUAUGGCUCAGGACGAACGCUGGCGGCGUGCUUCAUACAUGCAAGUCGAACGAGAAGCUGACUUCGGUCAGUGGAAAGUGGCGGACGGGUGAGUAAUAUGUAGAGAAUCUGCCCUUGAGUGGGGGACAACAGAGGGAAACUUCUGCUAAUACCCCAUAUGAGCUAACUUGAAAUAGUUAUCUUGAAAACUCCGGUGCUCAAGGAUGAGUCUGCAUCUGAUUAGCUAGUUGGCGGUGUAAUGGACCACCAAGGCGACGAUCAGUAGCUGGUUUGAGAGGAUGAUCAGCCACAAUGGGACUGAGACACGGCCCAUACUCCUACGGGAGGCAGCAGUAGGGAAUUUUGCGCAAUGGGCGAAAGCCCUGACGCAGCAACGCCGCGUGAACGAUUAAGCCCUUCGGGGUGUAAAGUUCUGUCAGUAGGGACGAAUUUUGACGGUACCUACAGAGGAAGCACCGGCUAACUCCGUGCCAGCCGCCGC
rnacentral:rRNA from 1 species